rnacentral:rRNA from 1 species
UAGGGAAUCUUCCACAAUGGGCGAAAGCCUGAUGGAGCAACGCCGCGUGUGUGAUGAAGGGUUUCGGCUCGUAAAACACUGUUGUAAAAGAAGAAUGACAUUGAGAGUAACUGUUCAAUGUGUGACGGUAUCUUACCAGAAAGGAACGGCUAAAUACGGCCAG